rnacentral:rRNA from 1 species
AUUGAACGCUGGCGGCAGGCCUAACACAUGCAAGUCGAACGGUAACAGGAAGCAGCUUGCUGCUUCGCUGACGAGUGGCGGACGGGUGAGUAAUGUCUGGGAAGCUGCCUGAUGGAGGGGGAUAACUACUGGAAACGGUAGCUAAUACCGCAUAAUGUCGCAAGACCAAAGAGGGGGACCUUCGGGCCUCUUGCCAUCGGAUGUGCCCAGAUGGGAUUAGCUUGUUGGUGGGGUAACGGCUCACCAAGGCGACGAUCCCUAGCUGGUCUGAGAGGAUGACCAGCCACACUGGAACUGAGACACGGUCCAGACUCCUACGGGAGGCAGCAGUGGGGAAUAUUGCACAAUGGGCGCAAGCCUGAUGCAGCCAUGCCGCGUGUAUGAAGAAGGCCUUCGGGUUGUAAAGUACUUUCAGCGGGGAGGAAGGGAGUAAAGUUAAUACCUUUGCUCAUUGACGUUACCCGCAGAAGAAGCACCGGCUAACUCCGUGCCAGCAGCCGCGGUAAUACGGAGGGUGCAAGCGUUAAUCGGAAUUACUGGGCGUAAAGCGCACGCAGGCGGUUUGUUAAGUCAGAUGUGAAAUCCCCGGGCUCAACCUGGGAACUGCAUCUGAUACUGGCAAGCUUGAGUCUCGUAGAGGGGGGUAGAAUUCCAGGUGUAGCGGUGAAAUGCGUAGAGAUCUGGAGGAAUACCGGUGGCGAAGG